GUCACUGCACUCCAGCCUGGGCGACAGAGUGAGACUCUGUCUCAAAAAAAAAAAAAAGAAAAGAAAAUAUAAAUCACUCAUAAAUCCACAGCCCACUGCUUCCUUUGGACAAUUUUUUCCCUGUAAAUAUUAUGUGUGAACAUGAUGAGGAUCAAGCCUGUUUUAUAAGUAAACUUUGUCUACUUAUUAUAUUGGAAGCAUUUACUAAAUAUUUUCCUUUCAACAUAACAUUUUAGGAGAGAAUUUUGGGACUUUUCCUUUUUAAUAUUAGGGUUUUCCUCCAUCAUCUACAAAAGUAGCAUGUGUUCCCUGCAGAAAACUUGGAAAACGAUGAAUGACUGUAAAAUAUUCCAUUUGCUACGUGAGUCGUCACUCACUUAACCAUCCUCCUUAUUUAUUUAUUUAUUUUGAGACAGAGUUUCACUCUUGUCGCCCAGGCUGGAGUGCGACGGCGUGAUCUUGGCUCACUGCAACCUCCGCCUCCUGAGUUCAUGCGAUUCUCCUGCCUCAGCCUCCUGAGUAGCUGGGAUUACAGGAGUCCGCCACCAUGCCCAGCUAAUUUUUGUAUUUUUAGUAGAGACGGAGUUUCGCCAUGUUGGCCAGGCUGGUCUCAAACUCCUGACCUCAGAUGAUCCGUCCACUUCGGCCUCCCAAAGUGCUGGGAUUACAGGCAUAAGCCACUGUGCCUGGCCAAGGCCUUUUAACAUGGGUUCCCAGAACUCUGC
rnacentral:lncRNA from 1 species